rnacentral:rRNA from 1 species
CCUGAGAAACGGCUACCACAUCCAAGGAAGGCAGCAGGCGCGCAAAUUACCCACUCCCUGAACGGGGAGGUAGUGACGAUAAAUAACGAUGCAGAACUCUUUCCGAGGCUCUGCAAUCGGAAUGGGUAUACUCUAAACACUUGUACGAGUAUCCACUGGAGGGCAAGUCUGGUGCCAGCAGCCGCGGUAAUUCCAGCUCCAGUAGCGUAUAUUAAAGUUGUUGCGGUUAAAAAGCUCGUAGUUGGAUCUGUGUUUCGAGCCGUCGGUUCGCCGCCCGUCGGCGUUUAACUGACGCGUCUUCGAGACGUCCUGCCGGUUGGCGGUCGGUCGCGCGUCUUUUCUUCGGAAUCGGCGGACUUGCGACGCGCCAGUGCUUACACCCGCUCCCGAUGUUCUUUAUUGAGCGUCGAGACGGGCCGGCACGUUUACUUUGAAUCAAACUGGGUGCUCAAGGCAGGCAAAUUUUACCGCUUGAAAGAACUUGCAUGGAAUAAUGGAAUAGGACCUCGGUUCUAUUUUGUUGGUUUCCGGAUCCCCGAGGUAAUGAUAAAUAGGGACUGACGGGGGCAUUAGUAUUGCGGCGUUAGAGGUGAAAUUCUUGGAUCGUCGCAAGACUACCUAAAGCGAAAGCAUUUGCCAAGGAUGUUUUCAUUAAUCAAGAACGAAAGUUAGAGGUUCGAGGGCGAUCAGAUACCGCCCUAGUUCUAACCAUAAACGAUGCCAGCCAGCGAUCCGCGGUGGUUCGUUUGUAAUGACCCCGCGGGCAGCUUCCGGGAAACCAAAGCUUUUGGGUUCCGGGGGUAGUAUGGUUGCAAAGCUGAAACUUAAAGGAAUUGACGGAAGGGCACCACCAGGAGUGGAGCUUGCGGCUUAAUUUGACUCAACACGGGAAACCUCACCAGGCCCAGACACUGAAAGGAUUGACAGAUUGAUAGCUCUUUCUUGAUUCAGUGGGUGUGGUGCAUGGCCGUUCUUAGUUGGUGGAGCGAUUUGUCUGGUUAAUUCCGAUAACGAACGAGACUC